rnacentral:lncRNA from 1 species
GUGAAAUGUGGGAUGAAAUGAGGGAUUUGGAGUGGAAUUAGGAGUGGGUGAUAUAGGUGUAAUGUGAAUGUGAAUGAAAUGGAUGAUUGGAGGUGAUUAGAAGUGAAAUUGGAGGAGUUUGGAGAGUGAAAAUGGGUUGUCAAUGGAGUUUUCCGUGUGGGAGACCGUGUGAAUUGAUGAUGGGACGGAUGGAGUGGUUGAGAAGAUGAAGAAAUUCAAAUUUGACACGCUUUCCUGUGUAACCACGCC